GAAUUAUCAAAAUAAUUGUCACAUAAAAGUGCAAUGUUUAGGAUUUGGGAAGUUGCUGGAUACUUUCAUGUGAUAAGCUAAUUUGGGAUGUUGUGUCUUUUGUUGUAAAAUCAUCCCAAAAAAUCCACUUUCUUGUCACAAACACAGAGCACAACAGCAAAAAUCAAUGCUUUCUCAGAUGGACCCUCCCACACUCAACGACUGAUGGAAUGGAAAACCUGGUACUAUGGAAACCUGUAGACAACUUCCCCGGACAAAUGCAACAAUCCCUCAAAUGACUGUUGAUGACUGAAAACCAGUUGAGUGCUGCUGAGGGUUGAAAUUGAGGAGCAAUUACAAGCCUGCCAAGGUCAGGAUGAGUCAAAGCUGGACUCAUCCUGACCUUCAACCCAUGCACACGUUGUCUCUAUGCACCCAACAGACUGGACCGAAACCCCCCUGCAGAGGGCUUUGCUACUUAACAUAAC
ensembl:lncRNA